CUGCUAUGAUGAGUUACAAGUGACUGAUCUGGUAUUGUGUUCCUCCGGGAGCAGCUCUGACCAGGGAAUGAUCUGCACUUAAUCUUCUCGCUGAGCAG